GAUGAACGCUGGCGGCGUGCCUAAUACAUGCAAGUCGAGCGAACAGAUGAGGAUCUUUCUCCUCUGACGUUAGCGGCGCACGGGUGAGUAACACGUGGAUAACCUACCUCUAUGACUUGGGUAACUUCGGGCAACCGGAGCUUUUAUCGGAUAAUAUCUUUAACCGCAUGGUUCAGUAGUUAAAGACGGUUUUGCUGUCACUUAUAGAUGGAUCCGCGCUGGAUUAGCUAGUUGGUAAGGUAACGUCUUACCAAGGCAACGAUGGGUAGCCGACCUGAGAGGGUGAUCGGCCACACUGGGACUGAGAGACGGUCCAGACUCCUACGGAAGGCAGCAGUAGGGAAUAUUCCGCGAUGGGCGAAAGCCUGACGGAGCAACGCCGAGUGAGGGAUGAAGGUCUUCGGAUCGUAAAGCUCUGUUAUUAGGGAAGAACAAAUGUGUAAGUAACUAUGCACGUCUUGACGGUACCUAAUCAGAAAGCCACGGCUAACUACGUG
rnacentral:rRNA from 1 species